rnacentral:rRNA from 1 species
CAGUCGCCGCGGUAAUACAGAGGGUGCGAGCGUUAAUCGGAUUUACUGGGCGUAAAGCGUGCGUAGGCGGCUUCUUAAGUCGGAUGUGAAAUCCCUGAGCUUAACUUAGGAAUUUCAUUCUAUACUGGGAAGCUAGAGUAUGGGAGAGGAUGGUAGAAUUCCAGGUGUAGCGGUGAAAUGCGUAGAGAUCUGGAGGAAUACCGAUGGCGAAGGCAGCCAUCUGGCCUAAUACUGACGCUGAGGUACGAAAGCAUGGGGAGCAAACAGGAUUAGAUACCCCAGUAGUCCCUGUCUCUUAUAU